rnacentral:rRNA from 1 species
CACGUAGGGUGCGAGCGUUGUCCGGAAUUAUUGGGCGUAAAGAGCUCGUAGGUGGUUUGUCGCGUUGUUCGUGAAAACUCACAGCUUAACUGUGGGCGUGCGGGCGAUACGGGCAGACUUGAGUACUGCAGGGGAGACUGGAAUUCCUGGUGUAGCGGUGAAAUGCGCAGAUAUCAGGAGGAACACCGGUGGCGAAGGCGGGUCUCUGGGCAGUAACUGACGCUGAGGAGCGAAAGCGUGGGGGAGCGAACAGG